GGGUGCUUAGCUCAGCGGUAGAGCGCUUCCCUUACAAGGAAGAUGUCGGGGGUUCGAUCCCCUCAGCACCCACCC
rnacentral:tRNA from 2 species